rnacentral:rRNA from 1 species
UACGUAGGGUGCAAGCGUUGUCCGGAAUUAUUGGGCGUAAAGAGCUCGUAGGCGGUUUGUCGCGUCUGCUGUGAAAACUCGGGGCUUAACCCCGGGCCUGCAGUGGGUACGGGCAGACUAGAGUGCGGUAGGGGAGACUGGAAUUCCUGGUGUAGCGGUGAAAUGCGUAGAUAUUUGGAGGAACACCAAUGGCGAAGGCAGCCCCUGGG